UACGGAAGGCAGCAGUGGGGAAUAUUGCACAAUGGGCGCAAGCCUGAUGCAGCCAUGCCGCGUGUAUGAAGAAGGCCUUCGGGUUGUAAAGUACUUUCAGUCGUGAGGAAGGUGUUAAGGUUAAUAACCUUAGCAAUUGACGUUAGCGACAGAAGAAGCACCGGCUAACUCCGUGCCAGCAGCCGCGGUAAUACGGAGGGUGCGAGCGUUAAUCGGAAUUACUGGGCGUAAAGGGCACGCAGGCGGUUAAUUAAGUUGGAUGUGAAAUCCCCGGGCUUAACCUGGGAAUGGCAUUCAAGACUGGUUAGCUAGAGUCUUGUAGAGGGGGUAGAAUUCCGAUGUGUAGCGGUGAAAUGCGUAGAGAUGUGGAGGAAUACCGGUGGCGAAGGCGGCCCCUGGACAAAGACUGACGCUCAUGUGCGAAAGCGUGGGGAGCAAACAGGGAUUUAGAUACC
rnacentral:rRNA from 1 species